rnacentral:antisense_RNA from 1 species
GUCUGGAUCGUGAGGAUAGUAGACUUUAUAUACGAGAGGAUGUUCUUUUAGAAGAUUGGCAAUUGUUUCGGCAUUUUCGCAGUGACGAUCCAUUCUCACAGGCAAUGUUUUAAGACCUCUUAAUAAUAACCAAGC